GUUGUGGCUCAGCAGUAGAGCACUCGCCUAGCACGUGCGAGGCGCUGGGUUCAAUCCUCAGCUCAACA
rnacentral:tRNA from 1 species